UACGUAGGCGGCAAGCGUUAUCCGGAAUUCUUGGGCGUAAAGCGCUCGCAGGCGGUUUCUUAAGUCUGAUGUGAAAGCCCACGGCUCAACCGUGGAGGGUCAUUGGAAACUGGGAGACUUGAGUGCAGAAGAGGAGAGUGGAAUUCCACGUGUAGCGGUGAAAUGCGUAGAGAUGUGGAGGAACACCAGUGGCGAAGGCGACUCUCUGGUCUGUAACUGACGCUGAGGAGCGAAAGCGUGGGGAGCAAACAGG
rnacentral:rRNA from 1 species